UGGGGUAUAUUGGACAAUGGGCGAAAGCCUGAUCCAGCCAUGCCGCGUGUAUGAAGAAGGUCUUCGGAUUGUAAAGCACUUUAAGUUGGGAGGAAGGGCAUUAACCUAAUACGUUAGUGUUUUGACGUUACCGACAGAAUAAGCACCGGCUAACUCUGUGCCAGCAGCCGCGGUAAUACAGAGGGUGCAAGCGUUAAUCAGAAUUACUGGGCGUAAAGCGCGCGUAGGUGGUUUGUUAAGUUGGAUGUGAAAUCCCCGGGCUCAACCUGGGAACUGCAUUCAAAACUGACUGACUAGAGUAUGGUAGAGGGUGGUGGAAUUUCCUGUGUAGCGGUGAAAUGCGUAGAUAUAGGAAGGAACACCAGUGGCGAAGGCGACCACCUGGACUAAUACUGACACUGAGGUGCGAAAGCGUGGGGAGCAAACA
rnacentral:rRNA from 1 species